rnacentral:rRNA from 1 species
CACGUAGUUAGCCGUGACUUUCUCACAGGGUACCGUCACUGUCUUCUUCCCCUGCGACAACAGUUUACAAUCCGAAGACCUUCUUCCUGCACGCGGCGUUGCUGCGUCAGGGUUGCCCCCAUUGCACAAUAUUCCCCACUGCUGCCUCCCGUAGGAGUCUGGGCCGUGUCUCAGUCCCAAUGCGGCCGAUCAACCUCUCAGUUCGGCUACAGAUCGUCGCCUUGGUGAGCCGUUACCUCACCAACCAGCUAAUCUGACGCGAGUCCAUCCAUAAGCGAUAAAUCUUACAAAAUUCUAUGAUGCCAUAAAAUUUCAAUAUGCGGUAUUAGCCCUCGUUUCCAAGGAUUAACUCCCCUUCUUAUGGGCAGGUUACUCACGCGUUACUCGCCCGUCCGCCUACUUUCCACCCAACAGUUCCACCCCGAAGGGACUCAACAAAUGGGUUCUCGUUCGACUUGCAUGUGUUAGGCACGACCGCCACG